rnacentral:rRNA from 1 species
UUUAAUCUUAACACUUCUACUUGCUAAAAUAUUAAAAGAUAUGGUCUCUAAAUUUAAAGGAUUUGGCGGUAAUUUAGCCCAGUUAGAGGAACCUGUUUCUUAAACGAUACACCACGCAAAAUCUUACCUAUUUUCAGUUUGUAUACCGUCAUUAUUAGAUAACUUUUAAAAAAAUUAGUUAUUAAAAUAAAAAAUUUUAAUAUAUUAGAUCAAGGUGCAGCUUAUAUUUAGGGAUUUAAUGGGUUACAAUAAAACUAAUUUACACGGAUAAUUUUUUUAAAAGUUUUUUGAAGGAGGAUUUAAUAGUAAAGUUAAUUUAAUAAGUUAUUUUGAUAGAGGAUCUAAAUUGUGUACAUAUCGCCCGUCACUUUCAUUACCAAAUGAAAUAAGUCGUAACAUAG